CCUACUGGAGACAUCAUUGAGGACUAUUGGUCAAUGGCCGCAGGGCUGAACCAUCACAGUCGCGCGCGGUCUUCCUUUCCUCUUUCUUUUCCCCCUCUUUUUUCCUUUAGCAAAGGGCGCCACGUGUGGCGCUUUGCGAGUACCUGAAGAAAAAGCAUCGGCUAACUCCGUGCCAGCAGCCGCGGUAAUACGGAGGAUGCGAGCGUUAUCCGGAUUUAUUGGGUUUAAAGGGUGCGCAGGCGGAAUGUCAAGUCAGCGGUAAAAUUUCGGGGCUCAACCCCGUCGUGCCGUUGAAACUGGCGUUCUUGAGUGAGCGAGAAGUAUGCGGAAUGCGUGGUGUAGCGGUGAAAUGCAUAGAUAUCACGCAGAACUCCGAUUGCGAAGGCAGCAUACCGGCGCUCAACUGACGCUCAUGCACGAAAGCGUGGGUAUCGAACAGGAUUAGAUACCCCAGUAGUC
rnacentral:rRNA from 1 species